rfam:Harpegnathos saltator strain R22 G/1 HarSal_1.0_2.contig980, whole genome shotgun sequence.
AUAAAUUGAAAAUCGGCGGAUAUCCUGAUGCGUAUGAUCCUGUAGAACACGGACCGUACGAUCCUGCACGCUUCUACGGAAAACGUAAGUUCCCUUA